rnacentral:rRNA from 1 species
UGCGUAGGCGGUUUUUUAAGUCAGAUGUGAAAGCCCUGGGCUUAACCUGGGAACUGCAUUUGAGACUGGAAGACUCGAGUUGAGUAGAGGGGAGUGGAAUUUCAGGUGUAGCGGUGAAAUGCGUAGAGAUCUGAAGGAACACCAGUGGCGAAGGCGACUCCCUGGACUCAAACUGACGCUGAGGUACGAAAGCGUGAGUAGCAAACA